UUUUUUCAAUGUAAGUUAUAUUCAGUGUGCUUGCCUCUCCUGCCCUUCCUUCCAUGUCCUCCACCUCCUGUGCUUCGGCCACUCUUAAGACAGCAAGACCAACCCCAACUCUUCCUCUUCCUCCUCAGCCUACUCAGCAUGAAACUAUGAGUAUAAAAACCUUUAUGAUGACCUACCUCCACUUGGAUCAAUGAAGAGAAGAAGAGUUGUGGACAUAGACACAUACAGAGAGAAGACCAUGUGAAGUCACAGGGAGAAGACAGCCACCUACAUACCAAGGAGAGAGGCUGUACAAGAAACCAACCCUGAUGACACCUUGAUCUUGGACUUCCAGCUUCCAGAUUUACAGGAAAAUAAAUUUCCGUUGUUUAAGCCACACAGUCUAUGGCAUUUUGUUAUGGCAGUUCUAGCAAACUAAUAUACAGCCUAUAUCAUAUACUACUCAGUUUGACUACUUUUAUUUUG
rnacentral:lncRNA from 1 species